rnacentral:rRNA from 1 species
UGAGGAAUUUUGCGCAAUGGCCGCAAGGCUGACGCAGCAACGCCGCGUGGGUGAUGAAGGCCUUCGGGUCGUAAAGCCCUGUCAGGUGGGAAGAAUGUCCCGGAACUGAACAGGUUUCGGGAGUGACGGUACCACCAGAGGAAGCACCGGCUAACUCCGUGCCAGCAGCCGCGGUAAUACGGAGGGUGCAAGCGUUAUUCGGAAUUACUGGGCGUAAAGCGCGUGUAGGCGGUCCUGCAAGUCUGAUGUGAAAGCCCCGGGCUUAACCCGGGAAGUGCAUUGGAAACUGCAGGUCUUGAGUACUGGAGAGGAUGGGGGAAUUCCCGGUGUAGAGGUGAAAUUCGUAGAGAUCGGGAGGAAUAUCAGUGGCGAAGGCGCCCAUCUGGACGGUAACUGACGCUGAGACGCGAAAGCGUGGGGAGCAAACA